rnacentral:rRNA from 1 species
UACGGAGGAUGCGAGCGUUAUCCGGAUUUAUUGGGUUUAAAGGGUGCGCAGGCGGCCUGUUAAGUCAGCGGUAAAAGCCCGGGGCUCAACCCCGUCGUGCCGUUGAAACUGAUGUUCUUGAGUGGGCGAGAAGUAUGCGGAAUGCGUGGUGUAGCGGUGAAAUGCAUAGAUAUCACGCAGAACUCCGAUUGCGAAGGCAGCUUACUAAGCCAUAACUGACACUGAAGCACGAAAGCGUGGGGAUCAAACAGG